rnacentral:piRNA from 1 species
UGUAAAAUGGAGAUGAUAGCACA